UAUUAUAUCGUAUACAAUAUAUCGUGACACAGAAAUAUCAUGAUAUUAAAAAUCCAUAUCGUGAUAACAGGGCUGUUCUGUCUUAAAAGUAGUCUAUUAUUUACUGUGAAGCUUUAGGUGUAUUUAUUGUAUAAUUGUUUUAGUUUGCAGUUUAUAUGCAUGCACUAAAUAUUCUGCAAUAUUAUUUGCUGCAUUUUAUUAUUUUAUGCUAUAUUAUUUAUUUUGCCACAUUAUGAUUAUUCUGUUAUACUAUUAUACUAUAUUCCUGAAAUUAAUUAAUUAUUUAACUGUUUUCCUAUAUCGCCAAGUAUAUCGUUAUCGCAAAAAUACCCUGAAAUAUCGUGAUAUUAUUUUAGAGCCAUAUCGCCCACCCCUAUAACCAAGCUCUGUAAAAAUAAAUAGUGAAUUAAGGCAGAAAUUUAAAAUAAAUUGCUAGCAUUAAUCUAGAAUGACAGCACUAAUUUAUUCCUAUGUGUAAAUAUGAAAUCUAUUGUUAUUUGCACUGCUAUUUGUAGAAGCUAUAUGUAGUUUGUUGUUUAGGGAGUAACUAAGUAUCUAAGAUUCAGCCAGAAACACUUAAAAAAACACAAUAAAGCUCUGUGCUCCCCAUCCACACAACACUACUGAAAACAGAGCUUUAAAAAAAAAAAAAAAUCAACCACUUGAAAAAGCUCAAGGACCAAAAAUGCCAUUUGUUAUGUGGACAGGAGACCAAAACACAGACUAUAAAUAUCCGGAUACAUGCAGACAGGCCCUAAGUUAAUUGCAUUAAUUAAUGCAUUUAAAUUUUAAAUGAUCUUUUACUCUCAUAUCUGUGUGUUUUGUUUCCUAUUAGUGUAAAUUGUUAAUACUGUUGAUACCUAAUAUGUGUAUAUUAGAAAUAGAAGUAUAUAAUAUAUACCUGAAAACUGAAGUGAUAUUUUAAUUGUAACAUACCGUAAUGUAGCAUUUAAAUCGAUACUGAAUUAAUAACGGGUUUUCUGUUGAAUAGUAUUCAGCUCUUGUUUUGAUUAGUAACACUUUAUCUUUAUAUUAAUGAAAUGACCACUUUCUCUUUUAAAGGAGCAUCUGUGCACGUUCUUACUGUUAACCUGAAGCACGAAUAAAAUUUUCCACAAGCUUUGGGAGCA